rnacentral:rRNA from 1 species
AUGGGAGUCGCCGCCUCCGCCGCCCCCCCUCCCCCGGAGGCCGCCGCGCCCGCCGAUCCACCAUCCAAAGAAGAUGCCCAGCAUGCCGCCGCCGCCGCCGCCGCAGCAGCAGCAGCUGCGCCCGCCGAUUCACCGGCAAAGGAAGAGGUCCAGUCCGCCGCCGCCGCCGCUCCCGGCGGCGGGGCGGACGCGGCGGGGGAGACGGUGGUCCUGGACGCCGCCGCGGAGGGCGGCGAGGAGGAGGAAGGGGAGUGCGGGUUUUGCGUGUACAUGAAGGGCGGCGGGUGCAAGGAGGAGUUCGUGGGGUGGGAGAAGUGCGUGGAGCAGGCGGAGGCGGAGGGCAGCGACGUCGUCGAGCGCUGCCACGACGCCACCGCCGCGCUGCGCAGGUGCAUGGACAAGUUCCCGGACUACUACGAGCCCAUCCUCCGCGCCGAGCGCGCCAUGGCCGAGGAUCUCGAGGCCUUCAAGGCCAGCGAAGCCUCCGAGCCCUCCCCCGCCUCGCCGCCGCCCCCGGCGGCCGAGGAGGAACAGGGCGACGAUAAGAAGCAGGCGGAGGCGGUGGUGGCGAAGGAGGAUCUCGCGGCCUGA